rnacentral:rRNA from 1 species
UACGUAGGGGGCGAGCGUUGUCCGGAUUUAUUGGGCGUAAAGAGCGUGUAGGCGGCCAGGUAGGUCUGCUGUGAAAACUCGAGGCUCAACCUCGAGACGUCGGCGGAAACCAUCUGGCUAGAGUCCGGAAGAGGAGAGUGGAAUUCCUGGUGUAGCGGUGAAAUGCGCAGAUAUCAGGAAGAACACCUGCGGCGAAGGCGGGUUGCUGGGCCGACACUGACGCUGAGGAGCGAAAGCGUGGGGAGCGAACAGG